AUUGAACGCUGGCGGCAUGCCUAACACACGCAAGUCGAACGCGAAAGAGGGGCAACCCUUAAGUAGAGUGGCGGACGGGUGAGUAAUACGUAGGAAUCUUCCUUUAAGUGGGGGAUAACCACGCGAAAGCGUGGCUAAUACCGCAUAAUAUCUUCGGAUUAAAGCAGGGGACCGCAAGGCCUUGCGCUUUUAGAUGAGCCUACGCCGGAUUAGCUAGUUGGUAGGGUAAUGGCCUACCAAGGCAACGAUCCGUAGCUGGUUUGAGAGAACGACCAGCCACACUGGGACUGAGAUACGGCCCAGACUCCUACGGGAGGCAGCAGUGGGGAAUGUUGGACAAUGGGGGCAACCCUGAUCCAGCGAUGCCGCGUGUGCGAUGAAGGCCUGCGGGUUGUAAAGCACUUUUAGUGGGGACAAAAUGCUCAAAGCUAACACCUUUGAGAGUUGAUUUAACCCAAAGAAAAAGCACCGGCUAACUCUGUGCCAGCCGCCGCUGUAAAAC
rnacentral:rRNA from 1 species